GGAUUAGAUACCCUGGUAGUCCACGCAGUAAACGAUGAUAACUCGAUGUUGGCGAUACACAGUCAGCGUCCAAGCGAAAGUGAUAAGUUAUCCACCUGGGGAGUACGAUCGCAAGUUUGAAACUCAAAGGAAUUGACGGGGGCCCGCACAAGCGGAGGAGCAUGUGGUUUAAUUCGAUGAUACGCGAGGAACCUUACCUGGGCUUAAAUGUAGAGUGCAUGAGUGGGAAACCAUUCUUUCCUUCGGGACUCUUUACAAGGUGCUGCAUGGUUGUCGUCAGCUCGUGCCG
rnacentral:rRNA from 1 species